GUGUCCAGGGGCGGGAAUCGAACCCACGACCUUCCGCUUACCGGGCAGAUGCCAUGUCCAGGGUAGCCUAGUGGACA